CGCGGGUUGGCAAAGUACUUGUGCGGCAAAGCUAUGUCAAGCAGGGGAAAGACAUAGUAAUACAAGGCAGGGCAAGGCGAGGCAUUCAAUGACAAGCAAUGUGGGCAAAUGACUUGGGGGUCAGACUCGGCAGUAGGCUAGUGGCGGACUUGUUCGGGCAAAAGGACUGGACAAUGACGGACAACUGCGGCGGCGGCAAUAAGCUGAGAC
rnacentral:lncRNA from 1 species